GUCCUUCUUGGCAGCAGCUUUCCUCAUGGCAGCCAGAACGUUGCUCAGCUCCUCCCUCUUUCUCUUGGCACGGAUGUGAGUGCCAAUCUUCUUAAUGAACUUGUUG